GAUGAACGCUGGCGGCGUGCCUAACACAUGCAAGUCGAACGAGCAGCACUCCUUCGGGGGUGUGGGCGAGUGGCGAACGGGUGCGUAACACGUAGGAACCUGGCCUGAAGAGGGGGAUAACGGCUGGAAACGGCUGCUAAACCCGCAUAAGCUCGAGAGAGUAAAACGGAAACGUGCUUCAGGAUGGGCCUGCGGCCUAUCAGGUAGUUGGUGGGGUAAAAGCCUACCAAGCCGACGACGGGUAGGGGGCGUGAGAGCGUGGCCCCCCACACGGGAACUGAGACACGGUCCCGACGCCUACGGGCGGCAGCAGUGAGGAAUCUUGCGCAAUGGGGGAAACCCUGACGCAGCGACGCCGCGUGCGGGAAGAAGGCCUUCGGGUCGUAAACCGCUUUUCUGGAGGACGAGAAAGGACGGUACUCCAGGAAUAAGUCCCGGCUAACUACGUG
rnacentral:rRNA from 1 species